UAUUGUCCUUUCUUACACAGAAAGUUAGCAUGCUAGAUAUACUGUUUUGCAUAUUGUUUUUAGUUUAUUCUCACUUUGUCUAUCCUGAAGCUCACUCCGUAUCAGCAUAGAUACAGUUCUUACUUACGGCAGCUUAGAGCUUAACCUUCUUCAUUCUUUUUGUUCCUGCUGCAUAGACUCCAUUGUAUACAUGAACCAUGCUUUAGUCAAGCAGCUCCCUGUGGAUGGACAUUUGGGUCCUUUUCAGUCAUUUCCUGUUGUAAACAGUGCCAUACGCUUGCUUUGUAUUCAUAGCUAACCCGUUUUUCAUCUCUGAACUCUUUUUAUCAUGUCUCUCUCUUUUUUGUUCUGGAUGUUUUUGUUAUGGU